rnacentral:rRNA from 1 species
UACGUAGGGGGCAAGCGUUGUCCGGAUUUAUUGGGCGUAAAGAGCGUGUAGGCGGCCAUACAGGUCAGCUGUGAAAACUUGAGGCUCAACCUCAAGCUGUCGGUGGAAACCCCUUGGCUAGAGUCCGGAAGAGGAGAGUGGAAUUCCUGGUGUAGCGGUGAAAUGCGCAGAUAUCAGGAAGAACACCAAUGGCGAAGGCAGCUCUCUGGGACGGUACUGACACUGAGACGCGAAAGCGUGGGGAGCGAACAGG